AUUGAACGCUGGCGGCAGGCUUAACACAUGCAAGUCGAGCGAGCGGCGGACGGGUGAGUAAUGUCUGGGAAACUGCCUGCUGGCGGGGGAUAACUACUGGAAACGGUAGCUAAUACCGCAUACUCUCAGAUGGGCCCAGAUGGGAUUAGCUAGUAGGUGGGGUAAUGGCUCACCUCGGACACGAUCCCUCGCUGUGCUGAGAGGAUGACCACCCACACGGGAACUGAGACACGUACCAGACUCCUACGGUAGGCAGCAGUGGGGAACAUUGCACAAUGGGCGAAAGCCUGAUGCAGCCAUGCCGCGUGUGUGAAGAAGGCCUUCGGGUUGUAAAGUACUUUCAGCGGGGAGGCGUUACUCGCAGAAGAAGCACCGGCUAACUACGUGCCAGCAGCCGCGGUAAUAC
rnacentral:rRNA from 1 species